GCCAUCAUGGUAUAGUGGUUUGAGUGUUAGAGUGUAACUCUGGAGACCAGGGUUCAAAUCCCUGCUCAGCCA